rnacentral:rRNA from 1 species
UACGGAGGAUCCAAGCGUUAUCCGGAAUCAUUGGGCUUAAAGGGUCCGUAGGCGGUUUUGUAAGUCAGUGGCGAAAGCCCAUCGCUCAACGGUGGAACGGCCAUUGAUACUGCAAGACUUGAAUUAUUAGGAAGUAACUAGAAUAUGUAGUGUAGCGGUGAAAUGCUUAGAUAUUACAUGGAAUACCAAUUGCGAAGGCAGGUUACUACCAAUAUAUUGACGCUGAUGGACGAAAGCGUGGGGAGCGAACAGG